GCCAGGUGUGAUGGCUCACACCUGUAAUCCCAGCACUUUGGGAGGCUGAGGUGGGCGGAUCACCUGAGGUCAGGAGUUGGAGACCAGCCUGGCCAACAUGGUGAAACCCCAUCUCUA
rnacentral:sRNA from 1 species